AACUUUUUUUUUUUUUUUAAAAAAAGGGGAAUAGUUAAAUUGGGAGUUCAAGGUGACCACACAAUUUCAAUAAUUUCUUAAUGGGAGUGAUAGUGCAUAUUAGAGUGGGUUGCCUAGGAAAUUCUUAGGUGUGAAGCUGAGAAUGUUACUUAACUUGAAGUUCUUUCAAUUCUAAAAUUGUUUAGGAUGAUUUGGGAAGAAAAAUAAUAGAGCAACGAAGAAAGGACAAAAGUGAGUGGAUGACAGUGUGCAAAUAUUCCCACGAUAAUGUGAAUAUUUUGUUGGCAUUUUUUUCAUCUUUAACCUUCUUGCUAGAGCAACAUCUUCAAAAUUUUUCCUUCAAACUUUUGUAUUGUUGUGAAAGAUAUUGACAGUGUUUUGUACCCUUGGUAAUUUCUCACAUAAUACAGUCAUGUUUUUUGACAUAUGUCUGCAAUGUGCUGAUCUAUCAUCUGCGAAUAUUCUGCUUGACACUAUUCUUUUCGAGUCAUAAAGCUUAUCAGCACUCAUUAAUAAAUAAGUGAGGGAAGUUGGAGUGCACUAUUUGAUUCAGAAGAUAAGUGCAUCAAGCUCUUUUUUUUUGGGUUAAUGUAUUCCUGCUCAUUUGAAAGUGGUAUUUUUCUGAUUACGAAAACGAAAAAAGUUUUUUCUCUCUUUAUAUUUCUGUAGAAAAUACCAGCCUUUAAUUGUAAUGCAAAAUUUCUCCAAAGCUGAAACUGCUAUACAUUUUGCAUUUAGAUUGUUGGGAUUGCAUUAAAUUACAUGAACAUGUAUUCAUUUUACUGUUGGAUCCAUUGGCAGAGUGCACUCCAACUGGACUGUUCUGCCAAAUAGGAGCAACUAUUUGAUUGGACUUAAGCUCUGAUCUGCAUUUUAAGGUGUCCCAUGGACAGAAGAGGAGCAUAGGCUAUUCUUAAUUGGUCUUCAGAAAUUGGGGAAAGGAGAUUGGCGUGGAAUAGCUAAAAAUUAUGUGGUGUCUAGAACUCCUACCCAGGUAGCAAGCCAUGCUCAGAAGUAUUUUAUCCGCCAGAGCAAUGCCACACGAAGAAAGAGGCGCUCCAGCCUUUUUGACAUGGUUCCAGACAUGGUUUGUCGUCCUUUCUUUAUGUUUAUUUUACAUGUUUAUAUAUGUAUGUACUGACUCGUGGUAAGACCAAUGGCAGUCGGCUUCAAUCUGGCAGUUGCUUUUUGGGCUUGCCACAUUACAGAAUUUCAUAUAUAUAAAAGCAAUCCAUUUUAACUCCAAAAAUCAAAGUUGUGCUACUCUUUCCUUAGUAAGUAGUGAGAUGCACUUUAUGAGGUUAUAUAAUGCAGGAUAUUUGCUACUCCAAAUUUCCUUUCAUCUUAUUAUUUUUAAUGUUCAGAUAAGUGUGUAAUCUGGUGGAGAAUUGGUGGUCAGCCCAUGCUUGUGUAACCUGUUAUAACUAGAUAACGAGAUAAGUUUAUUCAGCUGUGUUAUCAUUCAUCCUUCGGAACUGAUGAAAUUAUUUGUAUACUUUAUCGUGUAUUUCUCAGGCAACUGAACCCCAGACAGUUCCAGAAGAACAGGAGUUGCCAUCUUUUCAGUCAGGAGAAAUGGAUAAUGCAGAUGCGCUGCCUUCACUGAACCUCUCCCUGAGGCCAGAAUAUGUACCCAUGGACACAGCAUCUGAAGAACAAGUGAAAGAACAUGAUGAAACAGUGAUAGAUUCCAGUGAAUCCAAACAAACUGUUCCAAAAUCAAGUGAAUUCAGUCCAAUUGUCCCUCAGUUAAGUGAAUUCCCACAAUUUGUUCCUGGAUUCUAUCCAGCUUAUGUGCCAAUCCCUUAUCCCUUUUGGCCUGCAAAUACUGCCCCUCUUCAAGAAGUAAAGGGCGUGGAGACAUCAAAUCAUGAGGUCCUAAAGCCAGUUCCAAUCUUUCCCAAGGAGCCUGUCAAUGUAGAUGAACUGGUUGGCAUGUCUCACCUCAGUAUAGGAGAGACCGAGAGAGGCCAAAGAGAGCCUUCGCCACUCUCCCUGAAAUUAAUAGGUGAGCCAUCGAGGCAGUCAGCAUUUCAAGCCAAUGCUUCGGCAGUGGGUUAGAGUCAAGCCAGGGCAAGGGCAGUCCUAUACAAGCAGUUUGACAUGGAGAAAAGAAGCUGUAUUUUAGCUUUUGAUUAGUUUAGCGCCUCCCUUCCCCCUGUAGAAUCUUUGUUUUACCAUUUGAUAGUGCCAAGCUUUUUCUAUUUCUUAUAACAUAGGGUGACAUUGAUUUGGUUUGAAAUAUUUAUUCUUUCUAACUGUAAUCAGCUAGAAAUAUAAAUAAAUGAAGGGGGCGUGGCGCCAAAUUGCAAAUUCUUGUAAGUGCUGUAUGCAGUUUAGCUUUAACUUCAAACUUGUUAGUACCUUUGUGGCAAUAUUCUACUUGACGAAUUCUGAUGCAUUCUGCUAGUAUAUGUUUUUUUGGAA
rnacentral:misc_RNA from 1 species